CGCCUGGGGAGUACGGCCGCAAGGUUAAAACUCAAAUGAAUUGACGGGGGCCCGCACAAGCGGUGGAGCAUGUGGUUUAAUUCGACGCAACGCGAAGAACCUUACCUGGCCUUGACAUGCAGAGAACUUUCCAGAGAUGGAUUGGUGCCUUCGGGAACUCUGACACAGGUGCUGCAUGGCCGUCGUCAGCUCGUGUCGUGAGAUGUUGGGUUAAGUCCCGUAACGAGCGCAACCCCUAUCCCUAGUUGCUAGCAGUUCGGCUGAGAACUCUAGGGAGACUGCCGGUGACAAACCGGAGGAAGGUGGGGAUGACGUCAGGUCAUCAUGGCCCUUACGGCCAGGGCUACACACGUGCUACAAUGGUGCGCACAGAGGGCUGCAAACCCGCGAGGGGGAGCCAAUCUCACAAAACGCAUCGUAGUCCGGAUCGCAGUCUGCAACUCGACUGCGUGAAGUCGGAAUCGCUAGUAAUCGUGAAUCAGAAUGUCACGGUGAAUACGUUCCCGGGCCUUGUACACACCGCCCGUCACACCAUGGGAGUGGAUUGCACCAGAAGUGGUUAGUCUAACCUUCGGGAGGACGAUCACCGCGGUGUGGUUCAUGACUGGGGUGAAGUCGUAACAAGGUAACCGUA
rnacentral:rRNA from 1 species